rnacentral:tRNA from 1 species
UGCGUCGGCCGGGAGUCGAACCCGGGACAACUGUUUGGGAAAGAGCUGUCCUGACCGUUGAACUACCGACGC